rnacentral:rRNA from 1 species
UACGUAGGGUGCGAGCGUUAAUCGGAAUUACUGGGCGUAAAGCGUGCGCAGGCGGUUGUGCAAGACAGAGGUGAAAUCCCCGAGCUCAACUUGGGAACUGCCUUUGUGACUGCAUAGCUAGAGUGUGUCAGAGGGGGGUAGAAUUCCACGUGUAGCAGUGAAAUGCGUAGAUAUGUGGAGGAAUACCGAUGGCGAAGGCAGCCCCCUGGGAUAACACUGACGCUCAUGCACGAAAGCGUGGGGAGCAAACAGG